GACGAACGCUGGCGGCGUGCUUAACACAUGCAAGUCGAACGAUGAUGCCCUGCUUGCAGGGUGGAUUAGUGGCGAACGGGUGAGUAACACGUGGGUGAUCUGCCCCGCACUUCGGGAUAAGCCUGGGAAACUGGGUCUAAUACCGGAUACGACCCCCUGGUAGGUCAGGGGGUGGAAAGAUUUUAUCGGUGUGGGAUGAGCCUGCGGCCUAUCAGCUUGUUGGUGGGGUAAUGGCCUACCAAGGCGUCGACGGGUAGCCGGCCUGAGAGGGUGAUCGGCCACAUUGGGACUGAGACACGGCCCAGACUCCUACGGGAGGCAGCAGUGGGGAAUAUUGCACAAUGGGCGCAAGCCUGAUGCAGCGACGCCGCGUGGGGGAUGACGGCCUUCGGGUUGUAAACUCCUUUCGACAGGGACGAAGCGUUAUAGUGACGGUACCUGUAGAAGAAGCACCGGCUAACUACGUGCCAGCAGCCGCGGUAAUUCGUUGUUGUGCGAGCGUUGUCCGGAAUUACUGGGCGUAAAGAGCUCGUAGGUGGUUUGUCGCGUCGUCUGUGAAAUCCAGGGGCUUAACCUCGGGCGUGCAGGCGAUACGGGCAUAACUUGAGUGCUGUA
rnacentral:rRNA from 1 species